rnacentral:lncRNA from 10 species
AAAGAGAGAGUAUGAACUUCCUCAAGAAUGCCGUGGACUGAUAUUGAUAAAGAUGGAGGCUUUGGAUAAAAACAGAAAUAAAUACAAGGCAGCAGAGUAAGACUCCAUCUCACCAGAGAUCUGAAUUCAGAAGUCAGUAAGAACAUUAUAUUCCUGAAAUGGCAUAAGAUGCCCUAGUAAGGAGGCCAAAUAUUUAAUUCCUAGCUAAGAAUAAUAAAACAUUCCUGCUUUCAUAUACAUAAGAGUUACCUGGGAGCUUAUCUUAAAAUGCACUUUCUUUUGGUCUUGCCCUAAGAAAUUCUCAUUUAUUAGAUGAUUUUGAUGCCAAUAGUCUUCUGAGCACACCUUGAAAAUCACUGAACUCAGGCCCUCAUAUAGAGCCUUCAAGGCUCUUACUUAUCACAUAAUUCUUAAUAAGCAACUAAACGGAAAGAUCCUUGAGGGUAAGUCUUUUUCAUCUUUGUAUUCCACAAAUUAUCUAAACUAUUAUUUAGUUAAUUAUUUAUUAUCUAUUGGAUGAUAUCCCUAAAUAUCUGUAAAAUGAAUGAAAUCAAUCCCAGCUCAGAAAUACAUUCUAAACUUUUGAUAAUACCCAAUUUGCCUAUAGAUCUAUCUUCACAAUCAGAUAACUCAUUGUGCUUGUUUUAUUUUUUAAAUAGUUUUCCUGGCUCAUUGAAAGGCACUGCAUGAAGUAUGCCAGAUGAUAGUCAGAACAAUCCCUUAUGUAUGUAACAUGCAUGACAAUUUCAAUGGUACUCUCAUGUCCAUCAUCCAAUUUAAUAAUGAGAAAAAGGAAGACUAAAACAUUGUUUCUGUUUUCAAGGAGAUUACAAUUUAGUGAUAACAUAUUAACACAGAAACAUGCCAGAAAAAAAAGAACACAUAAUUGGAAGCCAAAUUGUAUGAUUUCAGACUAUAAACAGCUGAGUUCUUCAGAGGGAAGGGGGCUUCCAUGGGGCUUGGAGUCGUUAAGGAGGGCUUUGUAGAGAAGGUAGGACGUCCUUCAAGGAUAGAUUUCAUUUAGAUAGUUAAAGAAAAGAUAAACCGUGUGAGAAAAAUAAGAUGAGUAAGGAAAGGAGACAUAAAUCAAUCUUAAAGCAAGGCUCUUGAUAUUAAGAAUGUAUAUCCAGAGCAAAUCCAAUUCAUCAGGGAUUGAUUAAGGAAGGCAGCUAGUCCAAAAAAAAAAAAAAAAAACAAAAACAAAAAACCUGACAAAGGAAGUAAGGGACC